AAGCCCAAGAAUACUGAAGUGGAUAGCCUAUCCCUUCUCCAGGGGAUCUUCCUGACACAGGAAUCAAACCAGGGUCUCUUACAUUGCAGGUGGAUCCUUCACCAGCUGAGCUAUCAGGGAAGCCCAUGAUGUCACAGAAGAGGAAAACAAUUCCAAGAGGAUUUUGCAAAUUAUAUGGGAGGUCAAUUCACUCUUCACCAGUGUUUAAUUCAACCUGAGGAACCAGGAACUGAGGAGGAAGGAAGUAAUUGAUAUUCAAAGCCUCUAUUUUUAGACACCUUUACACUUUUCUUUUGCGUCUAACUAGCAAGGAUUUUUCCAAACAAGCUUUUAAUU
rnacentral:lncRNA from 1 species